rnacentral:rRNA from 1 species
AUUGAACGCUGGCGGCAUGCCUUACACAUGCAAGUCGAACGGCAGCACGGGAGCAAUCCUGGUGGCGAGUGGCGAACGGGUGAGUAAUAUAUCGGAACGUGCCCAGUCGUGGGGAUAACGUAGCGAAAGCUACGCUAAUACCGCAUACGAUCUAAGGAUGAAAGCGGGGGAUCGCAAGACCUCGCGCGAUUGGAGCGGCCGAUAUCAGAUUAGGUAGUUGGUGAGGUAAAGGCUCACCAAGCCGACGAUCUGUAGCUGGUCUGAGAGGACGACCAGCCACACUGGGACUGAGACACGGUCCAGACUCCUACGGGAGGCAGCAGUGGGGAAUAUUGGACAAUGGGCGAAAGCCUGAUCCAGCCAUGCCGCGUGUAGGAUGAAGGCC